GACGGGACCGCACAAGAGGUGGAUGAUGUGGAUUAAUUCGAUGCAACGCGAAAACCUUACCUACCUUGACAUGUCUGGAACCUUGCUGAGAGGCGAGGGUGCCUUCGGAGCCAGAACACAGGUGCUGCAUGGCUGUCGUCAGCUCGUGUCGUGAGAUGUUGGGUUAAGUCCCGCAACGAGCGCAACCCUUGUCAUUAGUUGCUACAUUCAGUUGGGCACUCUAAUGAGACUGCCGGUGACAAGCCGGAGGAAGGUGGGGAUGACGUCAAGUCCUCAUGGCCCUUAUAGGUGGGGCUACACACGUCAUACAAUGGCUGGUACAAAGGGUUGCCAACCCGCGAGGGGGAGCUAAUCCCAUAAAGCCAGUCGUAGUCCGGAUCGUAGUCUGCAACUCGACUACGUGAAGUCGGAAUCGCUAGUAAUCGUGGAUCAGAGUGUCACGGUGAAUACGUUCCCGGGUCUU
rnacentral:rRNA from 1 species